GCUUCAUACCUAUUCUAAAGUCGUGGG
rnacentral:piRNA from 1 species